rnacentral:lncRNA from 1 species
AUGCUGAGGAGGGAGAGCUGCUGGUCUGGGCAGGACCGAGGCUCCAGCCCCAGGACCCCUCAGCCCCUCUCUCCUGGGAGGGUGCCUGGGGGUGAGCAUUGCCCAGGAGAGGAAAGAAGGACGUAUUCCACUUACUCUAAGUCCCCAGGGUGGUGGGAGAGAGGAGGGGAAGGCUGUUGGGUGUUUAGCCCGGGCCUGACCUGGUGUUCGGUAGUGGGGCCGCAUGCUGAGUGUCCAGGGAGCUGUGGGUGCAGAGGCCUGGAGCCCGACAUGCAGCCCCGGGGUUCCUCUGCCUUCUCCAGCCUCCCCCUGGGCCCAACUGGGGUGCCCAGAGGUCCACCCGGGCAGCUCUCUGUCCUCCUGUGCCCUCCCGAGUAGAGGCCACUGACCUGCUUGGAGGAAGCCAAGGCUCAGGGAAGUGAGCAGAGGGGUGCACAGACCCGCGGGGCCCAGUGAGGGGAGGAGGGCGUGACACACUGCCCUACUCGCCCCUCCCCAGGUGGCAUCGAAGGCCGGCGUCUAUGAGAUCCUGGACCGGCUGGGCUUCCCUGAGCUGGAGAGCCUGGAGGACCAGCCCUUCUCGAGGCUGCGACACCGGUGGCAGGAGCAGAACCUCGGUCCUGAGUCCUCUGCUGCUGGGGACUUCCUGUAGGGGCUUCCCUGCCUCUCCUGCAAGGCUGGGGGGACUCUGAGUAUCUCUGGCUGGGACUGGCCCUGGGGGCUGCCUGGAGAGCCUGGGCGGGAGCCUUUUGGGAGAGAGCUUCGUGUGGGACAUGCAGACGGCACAGCCGCUCCUGGUAACCGAGACGCACGUGGAGGAGCCUCCAGGGAACUACAGGGUGGACACCUUGCAGGCUGGCUGGCACUCGGCUUCCGAGGAGCGCCCCCCUCUGGUGCCCACAGCUAACCGCCACCUUCCGUCCUCUCCAGUCCCUCUCAGUGGCUCUGAGCCCUGCGGGGCUGGUUCCUUCCUUUCUUGCUCCCUUCACCCUCCCCUUUGCCGCCUGAGCCCUGGCUGUGGGUCCCUGGCUGCCCGAGGUGAGGGGACAGUGCUCCGGGUGAUUGAUCAGUUUUCUUGCGUCUCCUGCCUGUCCCCAGCCUGGGCACUGGGAGGACAACAGCAUGGCGCUGGGCUGCCGGAGCCUUUCCUCUCCCUCCUUCCCACUCCCCUGGGGCUGGCAGGAUGGCAGAGGUCCCCAACCAGCUUAAAAUCCCUCUUAGGAGAGGAAGAAGUCUCCAGCACAGCCGGAAGUUCUGCUCCGUUUGCCCAGCAGCCUGGGCUGCAGGUGCAGAAGAGCCAGAGCCUGGGGCUGCGGCCCCUCUGCUCCUCCUUCCUGUCCCACCCGUGCAAGAUGGCCCCACCUGCUGCUGGGAGCCCCAAGGACUUCGGAUCCACAACAGGCUCCGGGGUGGCCCUUGUGAACCGUGGAAUGUGGGACUGGGCCAAGGAUGCAGGAGGGUCACCUGAUUCCAGCCCUUCCUCACAGAGGAUCCUUGAGCUGUCUCCCCAGCCACAGGAAGGGCCAGACACCGCUGAGGCAGGUCACUGGAGUUACCUCGCCUAGUUGAAGGCGGCACGGAGAAGUGACAGAAAGGGCCGCGUGGGUUGAGAUUGCCUCUCCUCUGUUUGGAGGCUGGUGUUUGCUGAAACCCAGGCCCUGGGCGGUGAGGAGCCUGUCCUCCCGCCUGGCCAUGGGGCCAGGGAGGCCUCUCUGGGGAGCUCAUGCCCAUCUGCAGAAAAUUAGGAGGUGCCCUUCUCGUUGGCUGCCAUAUCUGAAAGGGAGAGAGGAGGCCAAAGCUGUCUACUUGUGCCCAGUGUUGGGAAGUAGGGACCCUCUUAGCUGAAUUAUUUUUGCAAAACUACUGUAUGUCUGCUCACUACCUUUUCAGAUUUGUUUUAUAAUUUUGCAUGUACUCAAAAAUUUUAAUUUGUUUGCAGACAAGGUCUAGCUGAGGAGUCAGAGACUGGGGCUACACUGGGAGGGAUCUCUGUGUUCUCAUGGUUGACCCUGACUUUCAGCUGUGCUGGGACCACUGGCCGAUCACUUCACCUCUCUGCCUCAGUUUCCCCAUCUGUAAAAUGGGAGAAUAAUACUUGCCUACCUACCUCACAGGGGUGUUGUGAGGAAUCAUUUGUGAUUUUAUUUUAUUUUUUUUUGUACAGAGCUUUUUGGCAUUAAAAACAGCUUAAAUGUGAAGUGGGCCCA